CCCUGCAAAGCAGCAUCGCGGUGGCGGAGCGUCGUUUGCGACGCCCAACACACAAAACAAGCGGUGAGUGCUUUGGGGUGGGGUGACUGCGUACCUUUUGUAUAAUGGGUCAGCGACUUAUAUUCUGUAGCAAGGUUAACCGUAUAGGGGAGCCGGAGGGAAACCGAGUCUUAAUUGGGCGUUAAGUUGCAGGGUAUAGACCCGAAACCCGGUGAUCUAGCCAUGGGCAGGUUGAAGGUUGGGUAACACUAACUGGAGGACCGAACCGACUAAUGUUGAAAAAUUAGCGGAUGACCUGUGGCUGGGGGUGAAAGGCCAAUCAAACCGGGAGAUAGCUGGUUCUCCCCGAAAGCUAUUUAGGUAGCGCCUCGUGAAUUCAUCUCCGGGGGUAGAGCACUGUUUCGGCUAGGGGGCCAUCCCGGCUUACCAACCCGAUGCAAACUGCGAAUACCGGAGAAUGUUAUCACGGGAGACACACGGCGGGUGCUAACGUCCGUCGUGAAGAGGGAAACAACCCAGACCGCCAGCUAAGGUCCCAAAGUCAUGGUUAAGUGGGAAACGAUGUGGGAAGGCCCAGACAGCCAGGAUGUUGGCUUAGAAGCAGCCAUCAUUUAAAGAAAGCGUAAUAGCUCACUGGUCGAGUCGGCCUGCGCGGAAGAUGUAACGGGGCUAAACCAU
rnacentral:rRNA from 1 species